rnacentral:rRNA from 1 species
UGGGGAAUAUUGGAUAAUGGGGGCAACCCUGAUCCAGCCAUGCCGCGUGUGUGAAGAAGGCCUUUUGGUUGUAAAGCACUUUAAGCAGUGAAGAAGACUCCAUGGUUAAUACCCAUGGACGAUGACAUUAGCUGCAGAAUAAGCACCGGCUAACUCUGUGCCAGCAGCCGCGGUAAUACAGAGGGUGCAAGCGUUAAUCGGAAUUACUGGGCGUAAAGCGAGCGUAGGUGGCUUGAUAAGUCAGAUGUGAAAGCCCCGGGCUUAACCUGGGAACGGCAUCUGAUACUGUUAGGCUAGAGUAGGUGAGAGGAAGGUAGAAUUCCAGGUGUAGCGGUGAAAUGCGUAGAGAUCUGGAGGAAUACCGAUGGCGAAGGCAGCCUUCUGGCAUCAUACUGACACUGAGGUUCGAAAGCGUGGGUAGCAAACA